GCCCACUAGCUAGCCUAAAAACCUAAGAACAACAAACCCCAUUAAUAACCCCUUAACUUCUGAACAUAACAAAACAAAUCAUUUUCCCCUCCCAGUAUGUGCGACAGAAAAGAACUCAUUGAGCGAUAGAAAAAGUACCGCAAGGGAAAGCUGAAAGAGAAGUGAAACAACUCAGUAAAGCAAAGAAAAGCAAAGAUUAAUACUUGUACCUUUUGCAUCAUGA
rnacentral:rRNA from 1 species